AGCGAACGCUGGCGGCAGGCCUAACACAUGCAAGUCGAACGAACUCUUCGGAGUUAGUGGCGGACGGGUGAGUAACACGUGGGAACGUGCCUUUAGGUUCGGAAUAACUCAGGGAAACUUGUGCUAAUACCGAAUGUGCCCUUCGGGGGAAAGAUUUAUCGCCUUUAGAGCGGCCCGCGUCUGAUUAGCUAGUUGGUGAGGUAACGGAUCACCAAGGCGACGAUCAGUAGCUGGUCUGAGAGGAUGGCCAGCCACACUGGGACUGAGACACGGCCCAGACUCCUACGGGAGGCAGCAGUGGGGAAUCUUGCGCAAUGGGCGAAAGCCUGACGCAGCCAUGCCGCGUGAAUGAUGAAGGUCUUAGGAUUGUAAAAUUCUUUCACCGGGGACGAUAAUGACGGUACCCGGAGAAGAAGCCCCGGCUAACUUCGUGCCAGCAGCCGCCGUAA
rnacentral:rRNA from 1 species